GCACCCGCGGAGCUCGCUCCCGGGGCUACCCUACUCCGGUAGGGUUUAGAGUCGUCGGGCCUCUCGCAGAAGCUCGGUCCUGAACUCCACCCUUGAAUAAACUACCUUUGUUGCUUUGGCGGGCCGUCUCGUGCCAGCGGCUUCGGCUGUUGAGUGCCCGCCAGAGGACCACAACUCUUGUUUUUAGUGAUGUCUGAGUACUAUAUAAUAGUUAAAACUUUCAACAACGGAUCUCUUGGUUCUGGCAUCGAUGAAGAACGCAGCGAAAUGCGAUAAGUAAUGUGAAUUGCAGAAUUCAGUGAAUCAUCGAAUCUUUGAACGCACAUUGCGCCCUCUGGUAUUCCGGGGGGCAUGCCUGUUCGAGCGUCAUUAUAACCACUCAAGCUCUCGCUUGGUAUUGGGGUUCGCGGUUUCGCGGCUCCUAAAAUCAGUGGCGGUGCCUAUCGGCUCUACGCGUAGUAAUACUCCUCGCGAUUGAGUCCGGUAGGUCUACUUGCCAGCAACCCCUAAUUUUUUAAGGUUGACCUCGGAUCAGGUAGGGAUACCCGCUGAACUUAAGCAUAUCAAUAAGCGGAGGAAAAGAAACCAACAGGGAUUACCUCAGUAACGGCGAGUGAAGCGGUAACAGCUCAAAUUUGAAAGCUGGCUCUUUUAGGGUCCGCGUUGUAAUUUGUAGAAGAUGCUUCGGGUGUGGCCCCGGUCUAAGUUCCUUGGAACAGGACGUCAUAGAGGGUGAGAAUCCCGUAUGUGACUGGGUGCUUUCGCUCAUGUGAAGCUCUUUCGACGAGUCGAGUUGUUUGGGAAUGCAGCUCAAAAUGGGUGGUAAAUUUCAUCUAAAGCUAAAUAUUGGCCAGAGACCGAUAGCGCACAAGUAGAGUGAUCG
rnacentral:rRNA from 1 species